rnacentral:miRNA from 1 species
AAAAACUGAAUGAAAUUCUUGG